AGAAUUCUGAGAUGUUCGUCACGUCCAACAUGUGUUGACCGAACAAUUAAUAAUACCUUGGGAUCCAAACUGACUCAAGCAAAUAACAAGCCUUUUCACUUGGUAGUUAGACGUUUGACAGUGGAGCCCACCUGCUAAAUGCGGGUUCAAUACAACCUGGACGUAUAAACGGCAUCACCGGAUUUCUU
rnacentral:other from 2 species